rnacentral:rRNA from 1 species
CCUACGGGAGGCAGCAGUGGGGAAUUUUGGACAAUGGGCGCAAGCCUGAUCCAGCCAUGCCGCGUGUGGGAAGAAGGCCUUCGGGUUGUAAACCACUUUUGUCAGGGAAGAAACGGUCUGAACUAAUACUUUGGACUAAUGACGGUACCUGAAGAAUAAGCACCGGCUAACUACGUGCCAGCAGCCGCGGUAAUACGUAGGGUGCAAGCGUUAAUCGGAAUUACUGGGCGUAAAGCGUGCGCAGGCGGCUUUGCAAGACAGAUGUGAAAUCCCCGGGCUCAACCUGGGAACUGCAUUUGUGACUGCAUGGCUAGAGUACGGUAGAGGGGGAUGGAAUUCCGCGUGUAGCAGUGAAAUGCGUAGAUAUGCGGAGGAACACCGAUGACGAAGGCAAUCCCCUGGACCUGUACUGACGCUCAUGCACGAAAGCGUGGGGAGCAAACAGGAUUAGAUACCCUGGUAGUCCACGCCCUAAACGAUGUCAACUGGUUGUUGGGAGGGUUUCGUUCUCAGUAACGAAGCUAACGCGUGAAGUUGACCGCCUGGGGNGGUACGGCGCGAGUAGAACGACAANAGAGUAGAGCGUGAGAGNGCGACGACGACGACGAGGGAGGAGG